rnacentral:rRNA from 1 species
GACGUAGGGCGCGAGCGUUGUCCGGAUUUAUUGGGCGUAAAGAGCUCGUAGGCGGCUUGUCGCGUCGACCGUGAAAACUUGGGGCUCAACCCCAAGCCUGCGGUCGAUACGGGCAGGCUCGAGUUCGGUAGGGGAGACUGGAAUUCCUGGUGUAGCGGUGAAAUGCGCAGAUAUCAGGGGGAACACCGAUGGCGAAGGCAGGUCUCUGGGCCAUAACUGACGCUGAGAAGCGAAAGCAUGGGGAGCGAACAGG